rnacentral:rRNA from 1 species
CGGGACGGGUGAGUAAUGUCUGGGAAACUGCCUGAUGGAGGGGGAUAACUACUGGAAACGGUAGCUAAUACCGCAUAACGUCGCAAGACCAAAGAGGGGGACCUUAGGGCCUCUUGCCAUCGGAUGUGCCCAGAUGGGAUUAGCUAGUAGGUGGAGUAACGGCUCACCUAGGCGACGAUCCCUAGCUGGUCUGAGAGGAUGACCAGCCACACUGGAACUGAGACACGGUCCAG